GUGCCAGCAGCCGCGGUAAUACGUAGGGUGCGAGCGUUGUCCGGAAUUACUGGGCGUAAAGAGCUCGUAGGUGGUUUGUCGCGUCGUUUGUGUAAGCCCGCAGCUUAACUGCGGGACUGCAGGCGAUACGGGCAUAACUUGAGUGCUGUAGGGGAGACUGGAAUUCCUGGUGUAGCGGUGGAAUGCGCAGAUAUCAGGAGGAACACCGAUGGCGAAGGCAGGUCUCUGGGCAGUAACUGACGCUGAGGAGCGAAAGCAUGGGUAGCGAACAGGAUUAGGUACCCUGGUAGUCCAUGCCGUAAACGGUGGGCGCUAGGUGUAGGGGGCUUCCACGUCUUCUGUGCCGUAGCUAACGCAUUAAGCGCCCCGCCUGGGGAGUACGGCCGCAAGGCUAAAACUCAAAGGAAUUGACGGGGGCCCGCACAAGCGGCGGAGCAUGUGGAUUAAUUCGAUGCAACGCGAAGAACCUUACCUGGGUUUGACAUAUACAAGACAGGCGUAGAGAUACGUCCUCCCUUGUGGUUUGUAUACAGGUGGUGCAUGGUUGUCGUCAGCUCGUGUCGUGAGAUGUUGGGUUAAGUCCCGCAACGAGCGCAACCCUUGUCUUAUGUUGCCAGCAUUUGGUUGGGGACUCAUGAGAGACUGCCGGGGUCAACUCGGAGGAAGGUGGGGAUGACGUCAAAUCAUCAUGCCCCUUAUGUCCAGGGCUUCACACAUGCUACAAUGGUCGGUACAACGCGCAGCGACACUGUGAGGUGGAGCGAAUCGCUGAAAGCCGGCCUUAGUUCGGAUUGGGGUCUGCAACUCGACCCCAUGAAGUCGGAGUCGCUAGUAAUCGCAGAUCAGCAACGCUGCGGUGAAUACGUUCCCGGGCCUUGUACACACCGCCCGUCACGUCAUGAAAGUUGGUAACACCCGAAGCCAGUGGCUCAAACUCGUUAGGGAGCUGUCGAAGGUGGGAUCGGCGAUUGGGACGAAGUCGUAACAAGGUA
rnacentral:rRNA from 1 species